rnacentral:tRNA from 1 species
GCCAGUUUGGCUCAGUGGAUUGAGCGUCAGCCUGUGAACUGAAGGGUCCUGGGUUCGAUUCCAGUCACGGGCA